UCAGAGGUCAACCUGAGGAGGAUACAGUUGUGACAGAUUCUGGUGUUCGUAAGAAUUGUUUUCUUAUUCAGAGGGGAUACUGCAUCGCGCUCAGUACUGAUUCAGCAUGAAUAGUUCAUCAUUUUUAUAUCGCUGAGAAGUAUGAUUUUCUAUGAACUACCGCUGCUUGUAUAUUCAUUCAUCUGUUUAUGGAUAUCGACUGCUUUCCGGUACUGGUUGUUACAAAUAAAAUCACUACAGACAUUUU